rnacentral:lncRNA from 1 species
GAACUUUGUGUUUCCAAAUUCUUUUGGCCUAUGCCUAAGUUCCCUCCUUUUAAGGGAUUUGAUCAUCCUUUCCCUUUACCUCCACCUUUGGAGCUUCCACCGUUUCCUAAACCAUGCCCACCACCUCCGGUUCCGGUGUACGAGCCACCCCCAAAGGUGGAACUUCCACCACCUGUCCCGGUUCACGAGCCACCCCCAAAGGUAGAGGUUCCACCACCCGUCCCGGUUCACGACCCACCGCCAAAGGUGGAGCACCCACCUCCGGUUCCGGUUUACAAGCCACCUCCAAAGGUAGAGCACCCACCUCCAGUUCCGGUUUACAAGCCGCCUCCAAAGGUAGAGCACCCACCUCCGGUUCCGGUUUACAAGCCACCUCCAAAGGUAGAGCACCCCCCUCCGGUUCCGGUUUACAAGCCACCUCCAAAGGUAGAGCACCCACCUCCGGUUCCAGUACACAAGCCACCAACAAUCCCUAAGAAGCCAUGCCCGCCUAAGUCGCCGAAGAUUGAGCUUCCACCGCCAGUGCCAGUUCACAAACCACCGACUAAGAAGCCUUGUCCGCCCAUGCCACCAAAGAAAGUUGAUCCGCCACCGGUUCCAGUCCACAAGCCGCCGCCGAAAAUAGUCCUUCCACCGCCGGUACCAAUCCACAAGCCGCCAAAGAAGCCGUGCCCGCCUAAACCGCCAAAGGUCGAGCUUCCACCACCAGUACCGGUCUACAAGCCACCACCGAAGAUAGAGCAUCCACCAAUCUAUGUGCCACCGGUGAUCCCGAAGAAGCCGUGCCCUCCCAAAGCGCCGAAGAUCGAUCCACCACCGGUUCCUGUCUACAAGCCGCCACCGAAGAUAGAGCAUCCACCAAU